rnacentral:rRNA from 1 species
UACGUAGGGAGCAAGCGUUGUCCGGAAUCAUUGGGCGUAAAGCGCGCGUAGGUGGCCUCAUAAGUCCGCUGUGAAAGUCAAAGGCUCAACCUUUGAAAGCCGGUGGAUACUGUGAGGCUAGAGUACGGAAGAGGCGAGUGGAAUUCCCGGUGUAGCGGUGAAAUGCGCAGAUAUCGGGAGGAACACCAAUGGCGAAGGCAGCUCGCUGGGACGGUAUGACGCUGAGACGCGAAAGCGUGGGGAGCAAACAGG